CUGAAUGUAGCUCAGUAGUAGAGUGCUUGCCUAAUGUGCAAGGGACUCUGGGUUUGAUUCCCAGCACUUGGA
rnacentral:tRNA from 1 species